rnacentral:rRNA from 1 species
GAUGAACGCUGGCGGCGUGCCUAAUACAUGCAAGUCGAGCGAGCGGCGGACGGGUGCGUAAUGUCUGGGAAACUGCCUGAUGGAGGGGGAUAACUACUGGAAACGGUAGCUAAUACCGCAUACCAUCAGAUGUGCCCAGAUGGGAUUAGCUAGUCGGUGGGGUAAUGGCUCACCAAGGCGACGAUCCCUAGCUGGUCUGCGAGGAUGACCAGCCACACUGGAACUGAGACACGGUCCAGACUCCUACGGGAGGCAGCAGUGGGGAAUAUUGGACAAUGGGCGAAAGCCUGAUGCAGCCAUGCCGCGUGUGUGAAGAAGGCCUUCGGGUUGUAAAGCACUUUCAGCGAGGAGGCGUUACUCGCAGAAGAAGCACCGGCUAACUCCGUGCCAGCCGCCGCGGUAAUAC